GAGUUUGAUCGUGGCUCAGAUUGAACGCUGGCGGCAUGCCUUACACAUGCAAGUCGAACGGCAGCAUGAUCUAGCUUGCUAGAUUGAUGGGCGAGUGGCGAACGGGUGAGUAAUACAUCGGAACGUGCCCUGUAGUGGGGAUAACUAGUCGAAAGAUUAGCUAAUACCGCAUACGACCUGAGGGUGAAAGUGGGGGACCGCAAGGCCUCAUGCUAUAGGAGCGGCCGAUGUCUGAUUAGCUAGUUGGUGGGGUAAAGGCCACCAAGGCGACGAUCAGUAGCUGGUCUGAGAGGACGAUCAGCCACACUGGGACUGAGACACGGCCCAGACUCCUACGGGAGGCAGCAGUGGGGAAUUUUGGACAAUGGGCGAAAGCCUGAUCCAGCAAUGCCGCGUGUGUGAAGAAGGCC
rnacentral:rRNA from 1 species